AUCCAGUUGACGAGUCUCGAAUAAGAUGAAAUGCGCAUCCUAGAU
rnacentral:hammerhead_ribozyme from 1 species